GCUUCAGUGAUGAGCCGUUAGCAUGCAAGAAGAACCUCUUUGUGUGGUUUCUUCAAUGAAAUCUACUUGUUACGCUUGGCUUCUGAGAUCC
rfam:Punica granatum cultivar Dabenzi scaffold1418, whole genome shotgun sequence.